UACGUAGGAGGCAAGCGUUGUCCGGAAUUACUGGGCGUAAAGCGUGCGUAGACGGUUAUUUAAGUCAGGUGUGAAAGCCCCGGGCUCAACCUGGGAAUUGCAUUUGAGACUGAAUAGCUAGGGUGCGGAAGAGGGAAGCGGAAUUUCCGGUGUAGCGGUGAAAUGCGUAGAUAUCGGAAGGAACACCAGUGGCGAAAGCGGCUUCCUGGUCCAGCACCGACGUUCAGGCACGAAAGCGUGGGGAGCAAACAGG
rnacentral:rRNA from 1 species